UGACAUCAAGAACUAAUGUGACAAUCUCAAAUUACUAACACCCUCUGUUUUGAAAAUGAAAAGCUAUUUUUUUUCUAAUCAGUGGAUCAAUGGAAUAACAUCUGAACUAAUUUGUUAAAGAAAGGAACAUUUGAAAUCCAUUCCGUUUCCACAUAGCUCUCUCUGUAGCUUUUUCUGGUUUUCUUUUUUAUUUUUACCUCAGAUAAAACUGAAAGACCAGUCUUUCAAUCCUGCUGAAUGUGUUUGAGAUCUUUAUUCCAUUUUUACAACUCCCCUGAAGAAGCUUCUGAAUUGGAAAAAAUCUUCACAGUUAAUAAUCUUAUACUCAAAAGGCUUGAUUACUCCAUCCCCAAGCAAAAGACAUCAUGUUUUACAUGAAAGCAUUUUACAGACAAGCUCACUUUCUAAUUUCUUCCUCAUUUUUUAUCUCUCCAUCUAUCUGUCCAUUUAUAUUCCCUGAGUCUAGAAAUAAGGUCACCAUUAGCAUGGGUAG
rnacentral:lncRNA from 1 species